rnacentral:lncRNA from 1 species
AUGAAUCGUUCGCGUGUGGAAACAAGAAUAGUCUUGACACCCGCGCAGCACUUUACAGUUUCUGAAGCUCCUGUGUGGACCUUGUGCGUCUCACGGAAACUCACAAUCUUCCCAAGAGGCGAGUACGCAGACGGAGGCCUCUGGGCUCUCAGGGCUGAGCCGGGCCGAGCUCUGGGCCCACCUGCCCACCGUGCCCCCAGGCACUGUCCAUCCAGACUGCGGGCCGAGGAGCUCCCCUCGGGCAAGCUGGGUUCCCAGGUGCCCCCGGUCAGCAGCGCAGGAAAGGGAGGUGGACUUUCCUCUCCUCUGCCGUUUGUUCGAGCGGGAGAGCGAGCCGGGCUGCUUGUGCACUGCUUCUUUCCUUCAAGUCGCCGGCAGGGCUUUCCCAGCCUGAAAGGGUAUCGAUCAGCUUGUGAUUCAGUGGCGUCCACCGAGCCACCGCCCCCACCCCCACCCCCACUGCAGAGCUCACAGCGGUGGGAGGGCGGGGCUUCCCGCGCGUCCCGCGCUGCGUCCGGUUCCACCCCCGUGACCCACGCUUCCGCCCCCGCAGCCGGGCCCUUCCGGAUUCCGUCACAGCUGGGCUCUGCCGACCUGUCCGGGGUGUUAAUGGCCCCGUGGGGAGAAGGCGGGUCGGCUGCCCCCACGAGGUGGUGCAGUUUGCUCCGAAGUGCCCGGGGCCCUCCUGCCGCGCCGUCUCCACUUCCCAGGCCCAUGGCUCCCUCCCGGCCCGUCUGUUUCAGGGCUGAGAACUUCCGCUCACCGAGGGCUCGAGCCAGGCCUAGAGAAGCUCCUGAAGCCGUGCUGGACGUGGCCCCGUGGCAGUGCCCAGGGCCCCCGCCCCGUCCCCUCAGGACCCGCGUGGCCCUCUCGUUGCCGCUGCAGAGUUGUGCACAGCGUCCUGCCCGGCCCCCCGCUGGUUUGUCCAUCAGACUCCGACUCCUGCUGCGCUUCACUUCCAGGUGGCGGGGAAGAGGCAGUGCUUCCUGGCUUCCUCCUGCAGACACCUUGAGACGAACAGUGUCCAGGUGGGUCACCUGGGGGGUCACCUCUAGGGUAGCAGAGGCCAGUGAUCCCAGUAACUGGGGACAAAGCCUGGCCGCGACGCAGGCUUCUUGA